AGAGUUUGAUCCUGGCUCAGAACGAACGCUGGCGGCAGGCUUAACACAUGCAAGUCGAACGCCCGCAAGGGGAGUGGCAGACGGGUGAGUAACGCGUGGGAAUCUACCCUUUGGUACGGGAUAGCUCCGGGAAACUGGAAUUAAUACCGUAUGUGGCUUGAGAGCGAAAGAUUUAUCGCCAAAGGAUGAGCCCGCGUUGGAUUAGCUAGUUGGUGGGGUAAAGGCCUACCAAGGCGACGAUCCAUAGCUGGUCUAAGAGGAUGAUCAGCCACAUUGGGACUGAGACACGGUCCAAACUCCUACGGGAGGCAGCAGUGGGGAAUAUUGGACAAUGGGCGCAAGCCUGAUCCAGCCAUGCCGCGUGAGUGAUGAAGGUCUUAGGAUUGUAAAGCUCUUUCACCGGGGACGAUAAUGACGGUACCCGGAGAAGAAGCCCCGGCUAACUUCGUG
rnacentral:rRNA from 1 species